AUUGAACGCUGGCGGCAUGCUUUACACAUGCAAGUCGAACGGCAGCGCGGGCUUCGGCCUGGCGGCGAGUGGCGAACGGGUGAGUAAUGCAUCGGAACGUGCCCAGUAGUGGGGGAUAGCCCGGCGAAAGCCGGAUUAAUACCGCAUACGACCUGAGGGUGAAAGCGGGGGGGGGAAAGGCCUUGCGCUAUUUGAGCGGCCGAUGCCGGGUUAGCUAGUUGGUGGGGUAAAGGCUUACCAAGGCGACGAUCGGUAGCUGGUCUGAGAGGACGACCAGCCACAGUGGGGCUGAGACACGGCCCAGACUCCGACGGGAGGCAGCAGUGGGGAAGUUUGGACAAAGGGGGCAACCCUGAUCCAGCCAUGCAGCGUGCGGGAAGAAGGCCCUCGGGUGGUAAACCGCUUUUGUUCGGGAAGAAAUCCUCUGGGCUAAUACCCCGGGGGGAUGACGGUACCGGAAGAAUAAGCACCGGCUAACUACGU
rnacentral:rRNA from 1 species